UCAGUCGACUCCUACGGGGAGGCAGCAGUGGGGGAAUAGUUGCACAAUAGGGCGCAAGCCUGAUGCAGCCAUGCCGCGUGUAUGAAGAAGGCCUUCGGGUUGUAAAGUACUUUCAGCAGUGAGGAAGGUGGAGUCGUUAAUAGCGGCCUCAUUUGACGUUAGCUGCAGAAGAAGCACCGGCUAACUCCGUGCCAGCAGCCGCGGUAAUACGGAGGGUGCGAGCGUUAAUCGGAAUUACUGGGCGUAAAGCGCAUGCAGGUGGUUUGUUAAGUCAGAUGUGAAAGACCCGGGGCUCAACCUCGGAAUUGCAUUUGAAACUGGCAGACUAGAGUACUGUAGAGGGGGGUAGGAAUUUCAGGUGUAGCGGUGAAAUGCGUAGAGAUCUGAAGGAAUACCGGUGGCGAAGGCGGCCCCCUCGGACAGAUACUGACACUCAGAUGCGAAAGCGUGGGGAGCAAACAGGAUUAGAUACCCUGGUAG
rnacentral:rRNA from 1 species